GUGGGGAAUAUUGGACAAUGGGCGAAAGCCUGAUCCAGCCAUGCCGCGUGUGUGAAGAAGGUCUUCGGAUUGUAAAGCACUUUAAGUUGGGAGGAAGGGCAGUAAGUUAAUACCUUGCUGUUUUGACGUUACCGACAGAAUAAGCACCGGCUAACUUCGUGCCAGCAGCCGCGGUAAUACGAAGGGUGCAAGCGUUAAUCGGAAUUACUGGGCGUAAAGCGCGCGUAGGUGGUUUUGUAAGUUGGAGGUGAAAUCCCCGGGCUCAACCUGGGAACUUCAUCCAAAACUGCAUGACUAGAGUACGGUAGAGGGUAGUGGAAUUUCCUGUGUAGCGGUGAAAUGCGUAGAUAUAGGAAGGAACACCAGUGGCGAAGGCGACUACCUGGACUGAUACUGACACUGAGGUGCGAAAGCGUGGGGAGCAAACAGGAUUAGAUACCCGUGUAGUCC
rnacentral:rRNA from 1 species